CUGGCAGAUGAUGAUAAGAAAGGCAAAGACAUCUGCAGUGCUCCUGAUUCAAAUUCAGGACACGAUAGCAUGAUGACUCCAUCUAGGGGAAUCUCUGAUGCUGA
rnacentral:snoRNA from 1 species